UACGUAGGGUCCAAGCGUUAUCCGGAAUUACUGGGCGUAAAGCGUGCGUAGGUGGAUGUUUAAGUGCGACAUUAAACCGUGUGGCUCAACCAUAUCGUUGUGUUGCAUACUGAACAUCUAGAGGACAUGAGAGGCAAGUGGAAUUAGUAGUGUAGCAGUGAAAUGCGUAGAUAUUACUAGGAACACCAAUGGCGAAGGCAGCUUGCUGGCAUGUAUCUGACGCUAAGGCACGAAAGCGUGGGGAGCGAACAGG
rnacentral:rRNA from 1 species